rnacentral:rRNA from 1 species
CUGCUGCCUUCCGUAGGAGUCUGGUCCGUGUCUCAGUACCAGUGUGGGGGACCUUCCUCUCAGAACCCCCACGCAUCGUCGCCUUGGUGGGCCGUUACCCCGCCAACUAGCUAAUGCGACGCAUGACCAUCCGUAGCCGGAAUCGCUUCCUUUAAACCCGAGGAGAUGCCUCCUCGGGUUGUUACGCGGUAUUAGACGGAAUUUCUUCCGCUUAUCCCCCUGCUACGGGCAGGUUUCAUACGUGUUACUCACCCGUGCGCCGGUCGCCGGCGGGAG